rnacentral:rRNA from 1 species
GAUGAACGCUGGCGGCGUGCCUAAUACAUGCAAGUCGAGCGAACAGACGAGGAGCUUGCUCCUCUGACGUUAGCGGCGGACGGGUGAGUAACACGUGGAUAACCUACCUAUAAGACUGGGAUAACUUCGGGAAACCGGAGCUAAUACCGGAUAAUAUAUUGAACCGCAUGGUUCAAUAGUGAAAGACGGUUUUGCUGUCACUUAUAGAUGGAUCCGCGCCGCAUUAGCUAGUUGGUAAGGUAACGGCUUACCAAGGCAACGAUGCGUAGCCGACCUGAGAGGGUGAUCGGCCACACUGGAACUGAGACACGGUCCAGACUCCUACGGGAGGCAGCAGUAGGGAAUCUUCCGCAAUGGGCGAAAGCCUGACGGAGCAACGCCGCGUGAGUGAUGAAGGUCUUCGGAUCGUAAAACUCUGUUAUUAGGGAAGAACAAAUGUGUAAGUUAAUACCUUGCUGUUUUGACGUUACCAACAGAAUAAGCACCGGCUAACUUCGUG